GCUGACCUUAGUGCAGCUACGGUAUGUUGUAGCUAUGGCGACUACAACCGGCUCCUAUGGAUUUGUAGGAGUUCAUGUGGGAGUGGGGUCUUAUUCUGCUGCAAAUGAGGAUGAAUAUAAAGAUGCUUGCAGAGAUGCCUGUUUGAAGGCAGUAGAUGUUUUAAAAGAUGGCAAAUCAGCAGUUGAAGCUGUUGCANUUGCUUUGGGAGUACUGGAGGAANCACCAUGUACCAAUGCAGGUCUUGGCAGUAAUCUGAACAUGAAUGGUGAUGUAGAAUGUGAUGCAAGUAUAAUGGAUGGCAANUCAUUGGGUUUUGGUGCUAUCGGUGCUGUGAAAGGUGUUAGAAACCCCAGUCAAGUUGCUUAUCAAUUACUAAUUGAAGAAUGUCAAGGACCAUCACAAGCAGGCCUGGUACCACCAGUAUUUCUUGUAGGUGAAGGUGCUACAGAUUGGGCCAAACNCCACUCUNUUGACAUAGUCCCAAACACAUCACUCAUCACUGAUAAAAGUCGUUCAGCUUUCAAUAAAAACAGGGCAAAACUCUAUGAUGAAGCCAUAUCUGAAGGUGAAGAUACUCCCAAAAAGAAGCGNAGGCUUGAAGACCUGUGUUCUUAUGAAGAUGGAUGCAUGGAUACUGUUGGUGUAGUAUGUAUGGACAUAAAUGGUAAUGUUAGUGCUGGGGCGUCAAGUGGUGGAAUGUUAUUAAAAACUCCAGGCCGAGUAGGACAGGCAGCAGUAUUUGGUAGUGGUUGUUGGGCUAAGAACAGUNAGGAGACAAGCGUGGCAUGCUGUACAACAGGUUGUGGAGAGUACUUGAUCAAGACAAUGCUUGCAAAAGAAUGUGCNGAGUUAGCUUUUAGGAUGGAACAAAUGCAGUUAAUGAUGCCUUGCAGGAGAGGUUUCUUGAUUCAUCCCUUUUAUCAAAUGAUGAAAGGCANAAGCUAGCAGGAGUUGUUCUUUUGAGGGCUUCAGGCAUAAAGGAUCAUGAGAUAGAAUUUGUCUGGGGACAUAAUGCCUCAAGCCUGUGUGUAGGUUACAUGUCAACAGAUCACCAAAAACCGAAGGUCCGUAUUUCAAGAUCUACAUCUUUUGACUAUCACAAGCUCAACCCUAUACUUAUUGAA
rnacentral:misc_RNA from 1 species